GGCAGACGGGUGAGUAACACGUGGGUGACCUGCCCCCUAGACCGGGAUAACUAGUGGAAACACUGGCUAAUACCGGAUGACCUUAUAGUGUCGAAGCUAUAAGGAAAGGAUCUUCGGAUCCGCUGAGGGAGGGGCCCGCGGCCCAUCAGCUAGUUGGUGAGGUAAUGGCUCACUAAGGCAAAGACGGGUAGGGGGUGUGAGAGCACGGCCCCCCACAAUGGGACUGAGACACGGCCCAU
rnacentral:rRNA from 1 species